rnacentral:rRNA from 1 species
AUUGAACGCUGGCGGCAUGCCUUACACAUGCAAGUCGAACGGUAACAGGUCUUCGGAUGCUGACGAGUGGCGAACGGGUGAGUAAUGCAUCGGAACGUGCCUAGUAGUGGGGGAUAACUACUCGAAAGAGUGGCUAAUACCGCAUGAGAUCUACGGAUGAAAGCAGGGGAUCGCAAGACCUUGUGCUACUAGAGCGGCCGAUGGCAGAUUAGGUAGUUGGUGGGAUAAAAGCUUACCAAGCCGACGAUCUGUAGCUGGUCUGAGAGGACGAUCAGCCACACUGGGACUGAGAAACGGCCCAGACUCCUACGGGAGGCAGCAGUGGGGAAUUUUGGACAAUGGGCGCAAGCCUGAUCCAGCAAUGCCGCGUGCAGGAUGAAGGCCUUCGGGUUGUAAACUGCUUUUGUACGGAACGAAAAGCCCCGGGUUAAUACCCUGGGGUCAUGACGGUGCCGUAAGAAUAAGCACCGGCUAACUACGUGCCAGCCGCCGCCGUAA